rnacentral:rRNA from 1 species
CCUACGGGAGGCAGCAGUGGGGAAUCUUGCGCAAUGGGCGAAAGCCUGACGCAGCCAUGCCGCGUGUAUGAUGAAGGUCUUAGGAUUGUAAAAUACUUUCACCGGUGAAGAUAAUGACUGUAGCCGGAGAAGAAGCCCCGGCUAACUUCGUGCCAGCAGCCGCGGUAAUACGAAGGGGGCUAGCGUUGCUCGGAAUUACUGGGCGUAAAGGGAGCGUAGGCGGACAUUUAAGUCAGAGGUGAAAUCCCGGAGCUUAACUUCGGAACUGCCUUUGAUACUGGGUGUCUUGAGUGUGAGAGAGGUAUGUGGAACUCCGAGUGUAGAGGUGAAAUUCGUAGAUAUUCGGAAGAACACCAGUGGCGAAGGCGACAUACUGGCUCAUUACUGACGCUGAGGCUCGAAAGCGUGGGGAGCAAACAGGAUUAGAUACCCUGGUAGUCCACGCCGUAAACGAUGAUUGCUAGUUGUCGGGAAGCUUGCUUCUCGGUGACGCAGCUAACGCAUUAAGCAAUCCGCCUGGGGAGUACGGUCGCAAGAUUAAAACUCAAAUGAAUUGACGG